rnacentral:rRNA from 1 species
GUGGGGAAUAUUGGACAAUGGGCGCAAGCCUGAUCCAGCAAUGCCGCGUGGGUGAAGAAGGUCUUCGGAUCGUAAAGCCCUUUCGACAGGGACGAUGAUGACGGUACCUGUAGAAGAAGCCCCGGCUAACUUCGUGCCAGCAGCCGCGGUAAUACGAAGGGGGCUAGCGUUACUCGGAAUUACUGGGCGUAAAGGGCGCGUAGGCGGCUCUGUUAGUCAGGCGUGAAAUUCCUGGGCUUAACCCGGGGACUGCGCCUGAUACUGCAGGGCUUGAGGCCGAGAGAGGGUGGUGGAAUUCCCGGGGUAGAGGUGAAAUUCGUAGAUACUGGGAAGAACACCGGUGGCGAAGGCGACCACCUGGCUCGGUUCUGACGCUGAGGCGCGACAGCGUGGGGAGCAAACAGGAUUAGAAACCCCGGUAGUCC